CCUACGGGAGGCAGCAGUCGAGAAUUAUUCACAAUGGGGGAAACGCUGAUGGUGCGACGCCGCGUGGGGGAAUGAAGGUCUUCGGAUUGUAAACCCCUGUCAUGUGGGAGCAAAUUAAAAAGAUAGUACCACAAGAGGAAGAGACGGCUAACUCUGUGCCAGCAGCCGCGGUAAUACAGAGGUCUCAAGCGUUGUUCGGAAUCACUGGGCGUAAAGCGUGCGUAGGCUGUUUCGUAAGUCGUGUGUGAAAGGCGCGGGCUCAACCCGCGGACGGCACAUGAUACUGCGAGACUAGAGUAAUGGAGGGGGAACCGGAAUUCGCGGUGUAGCAGUGAAAUGCGUAGAUAUCGAGAGGAACACUCGUGGCGAAGGCGGGUUCCUGGACAUUAACUGACGCUGAGGCACGAAGGCCAGGGGAGCGAAAGGGAUUAGAUACCCGUGUAGUC
rnacentral:rRNA from 1 species